AAACUUCAAAUACCAUUCCUAUGGUUUUGCACUUUCUCACUUUAACCCCGUGGUUUAAAGUGUCUAAUUUAAUAUUCUGUGAUUUUAUUUUUCUCUGUUGUUAGUCCCUUCAUUAACUUUUCGUUAAAUCAUAUAUAAAAAAUUUCAGAUACCCUAUCUAUAGUUUAUCGAAUAAUCACUUUGGUACUCUUUAGUUUUAACUUUGUUACUGAUUUAAUGAAAAAAAUUAGUAAAAGCGAUAACAAAAAGAAAAAAAUAAAAUCAUAUGGUACGAAAGUGAUACACUUUUGUGAGACCCCAGAUAGUCCUAUAUAUAAGAUAAGAUAGGGCUAAACUCUUAACCCGGCUUAAGCAUUUUGGGUGGUGACUAGACCCAAGAGGUUAAGAGAGUUAAGCGUGCUAGGACGGGAGUAGUCCUAGGAUGGGUGAUCCCCUGGGAAGUCGGGG
rnacentral:lncRNA from 1 species